UAAGGGUUCGCCUCCGGAGAGGGAGCCUUAGAAACGGCAGCCACAUCCAAGGAAGGCAGCAGGCGCGAAACUUAUCCAAUCUUGAAUAGAUGAGAUAGUGACUAAAAAUAAAAAGACCAUUCCUAUGGAACGGUUAUUUCAAUGAGUUGAUCAUAAACCUUUUUUCGAGGAUCAAGUGGAGGGCAAGUCUGGUGCCAGCAGCCGCGGUAAUUCCAGCUCCACUAGUGUAAAUCGUCAUUGCUGCGGUUAAAAAGCUCGUAGUUGGAUCUGAGUCGCAUGCAAUGGUUCGCCUUUGGCGUUAAUCAUUGUUGUGACUAUUUGCUGGUCUUCUAUUGAAAUUUCGAUUUCUUUAGUGGCGAGCGAGUUCACUUUGAAUAAAUUAGAGCGCUCAGAACAAGCG
rnacentral:rRNA from 1 species